UGAGGAAUAUUGGUCAAUGGGCGCGAGCCUGAACCAGCCAAGUAGCGUGAAGGAUGACUGCCCUAUGGGUUGUAAACUUCUUUUAUAGGGGAAUGAAAGAUGAGGCACGUGUGCCUUUUUGUAUGUACUUUAUGAAUAAGGAUCGGCUAACUCCGUGCCAGCAGCCGCGGUAAUACGGAGGAUCCGAGCGUUAUCCGGAUUUAUUGGGGUUUAAAGGGAGCGUAGAUGGGUUGUUAAGUCAGUUGUGAAAGUUUGCGGCUCAACCGUAAAAUUGCAAUUGAUACUGGCGUCCUUGAGUACAGUUGAGGUGGGCGGAAUUCGUGGUGUAGCGGUGAAAUGCUUAGAUAUCACGAAGAACUCCUAUUGCGAAGGCAGCUGACUGUAUCGUAACUGACGCUGAAGCUCGAAAGUGUGGGGUAUCGAACAGGAUUAGAUACC
rnacentral:rRNA from 1 species